rnacentral:lncRNA from 1 species
AGGCUCUUCAUUAGAAAUGCUGAAUAAAAGCUUCUUUUGGUAACAGUCCACAGUAGUGUGAUACGCCGCUAACCAGUUUAUCCCUAAAAUUAUAUCAAAAUUCCUCGUAUCUAGUGCUAUUAGAUCUACACUCAAUUUCUUAUCUGUUAUCUCUAUGAUACAAGCUUUGUAUAUAACAUUCCCCAAUAAUGUUCCGUUCCCAGGUAUAGACACCAACAAUACAGAAUCAAGACAUUCAGGUAACACAUUUAAAUUUUGAGUAAAGGCAUGUGAAACAAAAGAAUGUAAAACACCAGUACCAAUUAAAACAUGUACAAGGUGUUUGCAGAUAGUGUACGUAUCUUGUAUCACAUAUGGGUUGGCUUUGGUAUCCUGCUAGGUGAGUGUGUAAACUCUACCCUGGAAUGUAGGUCUGGUCUGAUUUUGAUUCAUCGGGUACUCUCUCGUGUAGUGUUAGGCACUCCCGCGUAUGCGACAGAUGUUGUUGAGGCGACAACAAGGUUGGUCUCCAUGAUCCUUACCAUAGUGCUGACAAAUCUUGCCAUGUCCUACUAUCGGGGCCUAAGGAGGAGCUUGAGAUGUGGGCCUUGGUCUCUUGUUCUGUUAGUUCAGUGCAGUAGGUACUAGCCUGCAAUGCAGAGCUGAGAGCUUGGAGUUACCCAUUAUUGAGGAAAAAAUAUGGAGGUUCCUCUCUAUUAACUGUGCAUUGGCCAAGACUACCGAAUAAGUGUCAAGCUCGAAUAAAUAUAGUUAUUGU